rnacentral:rRNA from 1 species
GAUGAACGCUGGCGGCGUGCCUAAUACAUGCAAGUCGAGCGAACAGACGAGGAGCUUGCUCCUCUGACGUCAGCGGCGGACGGGUGAGUAACACGUGGAUAACCUACCUAUAAGACUGGGAUAACUUCGGGAAACCGGAGCUAAUACCGGAUAAUAUAUUGAACCGCAUGGUUCAAUAGUGAAAGACGGUUUUGCUGUCACUUAUAGAUGGAUCCGCGCCGCAUUAGCUAGUUGGUAAGGUAACGGCUUACCAAGGCAACGAUGCGUAGCCGACCUGAGAGGGUGAUCGGCCACACUGGAACUGAGACACGGUCCAGACUCCUACGGGAGGCAGCAGUAGGGAAUCUUCCGCAAUGGGCGAAAGCCUGACGGAGCAACGCCGCGUGAGUGAUGAAGGUCUUCGGAUCGUAAAACUCUGUUAUUAGGGAAGAACAAAUGUGUAAGUAGCUAUGCACGUCUUGACGGCACCUAAUCAGAAAGCCACGGCUAACUACGUG